CCUACGGGCGGCAGCAGUGAGGAAUAUUGGUCAAUGGGCGGAAGCCUGAACCAGCCAAGUAGCGUGCAGGAUGACGGCCCUACGGGUUGUAAACUUCUUUUAUACGGGAAUAACGCGCCUUACGUGUACGUCUUUGCAUGUACUGUAUGAAUAAGGAACGGCUAAUUCCGUGCCAGCAGCCGCGGUAAUACGGAAGGUCCGAGCGUUAUCCGGAUUUAUUGGGUUUAAAGGGAGCGUAGGCGGGUUGUUAAGUGUGUUGUGAAAGUUUGGGGCUCAACCCGGCCAUUGCAAUUGAUACUGGCGGGCUUGAGUGCGCGUGAGGCAGGCGGAAUUCGUGGUGGAGCGGUGAAAUGCUUAGAAAUGACGAAGAACCCCGAUUGCGAAGGCAGCUUGAUGAAGCGGAACUGACGCUGAUGCUCGAAAGCGCGGGUAUCGAACAGGAUUAGAUACCCGUGUAGUC
rnacentral:rRNA from 1 species